rnacentral:rRNA from 1 species
ACGGAAGUCGUUGUAAUGAAAUAGAAACGGACAGAGAACUUGUUCGAAGAAAGUGGAAGUAGACUUACAACAAUGGCUUUAGUGGCGGACUGGUGAGUAACGCGUAAGGAACCUGCCUUCUAGAGGGGAAUAACAAUGAGAAAUCAUUGCUAAUACCGCAUAUGCCGAGAGAAUCACAUGGUACAAUCGGGAAAAGAGUAAUCUGCUAGAAGAUGGCCUUGCGUCUGAUUAGAUAGUUGGUGGGGUAACGGCCUACCAAGUCGACGAUCAGUAGCCGGACUGAGAGGUUGAACGGCCACAUUGGGACUGAGAUACGGCCCAGACUCCUACGGGAGGCAGCAGUCGGGAAUAUUGCGCAAUGGAGGAAACUCUGACGCAGUGACGCCGCGUAUAGGAAGAAGGUUUUCGGAUUGUAAACUAUUGUCGUUAGGGAAGAGAAAGGACAGUACCUAAGGAGGAAGCUCCGGCUAACUACGUGCCAGCAGCCGCGGUAAUACGUAGGGAGCGAGCGUUAUCCGGAAUUAUUGGGUGUAAAGGGUGCGUAGACGGGAAGAUAAGUUAGUUGUGAAAUCCCUCGGCUUAACUGAGGAACCGCAACUAAAACUGUUUUUCUUGAGUGCAGGAGAGGUAAGUGGAAUUCCUAGUGUAGCGGUGAAAUGCGUAGAUAUUAGGAGGAACACCAGU